rnacentral:siRNA from 1 species
AAGCCCGUAUACAAAUCUCCACCA